rnacentral:rRNA from 1 species
UGGGGAAUAUUGCACGAUGGGGGAAACCCUGAUGCAGCAACGCCGCGUGAGUGAAGAAGGUUUUCGGAUUGUAAAGCUCUGUUAGCAGGGAAGAGGAAGGACGGUACCUGCAGAGGAAGCCACGGCUAACUACGUGCCAGCAGCCGCGGUAAUACGUAGGUGGCAAGCGUUGUUCGGAAUAACUGGGCGUAAAGGACGCGUAGGCGGUUGAAUAAGUUAUAUGUUAAAUAUAUAGGCUUAACCUGUAGAGAGCAUAUAAAACUGUUUAACUAGAGUGCAGGAGAGGUAAGUGGAAUUCCUAGUGUAGCGGUGAAAUGCGUAGAGAUUAGGAAGAACACCAGUGGCGAAGGCGACUUACUGGACUGUAACUGACGUUGAGGCAUGAGAGCAUGGGGAGCAAACA